AAAAGCAAUGAAUGCAUUUAUACAUAUUUCAUUUGUAUCAAAUAUUGUGAAAGACAGUAUCAAAAUGUAUGUUUGAUUAAAAUAAACAUGAUUUUCCCAAAGAUUAAUAUAAUUUAUAUUUAAUAUUAAUAUAAUUUAUAAUUAAAAGUGGAAGUCAGAAAGAUUAUUAGUAUAAGCAAACUAGUAUGCUAUUCAACAUUUAAUCAAAUUAUACAUUUAUUAUUAUUUCAUUUGGAAUUGUAAUAUUUUAUAUCUAAAC